CUUAUACACAAAUACACACUGCUUCCACUACACACAAACACACUACAUCACCUGCACAAACUGGUAACCCUAUACACUACAUACCAUAAGCACACAUAUUAGAUCCUCUACAAUAACACAUAACACAUCCCCUACACACUCCACUCCCUGUGAGCGAACUCAUGGGUGUGUGGAACUUAUGAGUGGGCCUUAUGGGCAUACUCACCGUCAGGCCCUGGGGCCCAGACCUUGAGCUGUGUAAGGGGCCCGAAAAAAAUUGAGCUGCUUCCAAUUCUCCCAGAACAUUGAAUUUUGUGACCACAGUUGCAAACAGCCUCAAGAGAUCCUGUUCUACACCAGACCAGUGGAGCCAAACUGCAGCCCAUCAUCAUCCUCAUCUGCUUGUAAGUAGGCAAUCUAGUAUAUUAUUAGUGACACUAAUCUAUAAUUUACCUCACAUUAAGGGGACACUAUAGCUUAAUGAAGUGGUUCUGGUGUCUAUAGCUGGUCCCUGCAGGCUUUUUAAUGUAAACACACACUGUGUGCAGCACUGGCGUUAGUUCAUAUGGCAGAUCAUAUGGGUGGGGCAUUGUGAUGUGACAUGUGGGGGCAGCAAAUUUUUAUUUUGUCUAGAGCGGCAAAAAUCCUUGCACCGGCUCUGAUCCUGGGCAGGUGCACCAGUCUACUUGACUGGUUUUGCCCCCCCAGGCCUAAGGCUGCCA